rnacentral:rRNA from 1 species
CUGCGAAUGGCUCAUUAAAUCAGUUAUCGUUUAUUUGAUAGUACCUUACUACUUGGAUAACCGUGGUAAUUCUAGAGCUAAUACAUGCUGAAAACCCCGACUUCGGAAGGGGUGUAUUUAUUAGAUAAAAAACCAACGCCCUUCGGGGCUUCUUGGUGAUUCAUGAUAACUUUACGGAUCGCAUGGCCUUGCGCCGGCGACGGUUCAUUCAAAUUUCUGCCCUAUCAACUUUCGAUGGUAAGGUAUUGGCUUACCAUGGUUUCAACGGGUAACGGGGAAUUAGGGUUCGAUUCCGGAGAGGGAGCCUGAGAAACGGCUACCACAUCCAAGGAAGGCAGCAGGCGCGCAAAUUACCCAAUCCCGACACGGGGAGGUAGUGACAAUAAAUACUGAUACAGGGCUCUUUUGGGUCUUGUAAUUGGAAUGAGUACAAUUUAAACCUCUUAACGAGGAACAAUUGGAGGGCAAGUCUGGUGCCAGCAGCCGCGGUAAUUCCAGCUCCAAUAGCGUAUAUUAAAGUUGUUGCAGUUAAAAAGCUCGUAGUUGAAACUUGGGCCUGGCUGGCAGGUCCGCCUCACCGCGUGUACUUGUCCGGCCGGGCCUUCCUUCUGGAGAACCUCAUGCCCUUCACUGGGCGUGUUGGGGACCAGGACUUUUACUUUGAAAAAAUUAGAGUGUUCAAAGCAGGCCUUUGCUCGAAUACGUUAGCAUGGAAUAAUAGAAUAGGACGUGCGGUCCUAUUUUGUUGGUUUCUAGGACCGCCGUAAUGAUUAAUAGGGACAGUCGGGGGCAUCAGUAUUCAAUUGUCAGAGGUGAAAUUCUUGGAUUUAUUGAAGACUAACUACUGCGAAAGCAUUUGCCAAGGAUGUUUUCAUUAAUCAGUGAACGAAAGUUAGGGGAUCGAAGACGAUCAGAUACCGUCGUAGUCUUAACCGUAAACUAUGCCGACUAGGGAUCGGGCGAUGUUCUUUUUCUGACUCGCUCGGCACCUUACGA